rnacentral:ncRNA from 2 species
GGCCAGCAUCAAGAGUCGGGGCGAUCCCUGACGCCAACCUGCUCUCCCGGGCAAGGUGGCACCCUCCGGCAAACGGCGGGGAUGUGGCCGGACCGGCAACCAAACGGGCUUCG